AACGCACCUUGCGCUCCUUGGUAUUCCUUGGAGCAUGCCUGUUUGAGAGUCUUGAAUAUCUCUGCUCUUGUAUUUUUUAACUAAAGUACAACGAGUCAGGUCCUUGGGUCUGCUUGGCCUGUUUGUUACGAACACAAGCUUACCUUAAAUGAAUUAGCUGGAUUUCAGUAGAGUUGUUAAGUAACAUUUUGAACUCUCGUAAGAUGAAGUCUGCUUUCUAAUCUUUGCUCUUUUCGAAAGAAUCGAGAAAACUUUCUAUUUUGGCCUCAAAUCAGGUAGGACUACCCGCUGAACUUAA
rnacentral:misc_RNA from 1 species